rnacentral:rRNA from 1 species
UACGUAGGGUGCGAGCGUUAAUCGGAAUUACUGGGCGUAAAGUGUGCGCAGGCGGCUCCGCAAGUCGAGUGUGAAAUCCCCGAGCUUAACUUGGGAAUUGCGCUCGAAACUACGGAGCUGGAGUGUGGCAGAGGAAGGUGGAAUUCCCCAAGUAGAGGUGAAAUUCGUAGAUAUGGGGAGGAACACCGGUGGCGAAGGCGACCAUCUGGACGGAUACUGACGCUGAGACGCGAAAGCGUGGGUAGCAAACAGG